GAUGAAGAACGUAGCGAAAUGCGAUAAGUAGUGUGAAUUGCAGAAUUCAGUGAAUCAUCGAAUCUUUGAACGCACAUUGCGCCCCUUGGUACUCCAUGGGGCAUGCCUGUUCGAGCGUCAUUUACACCCUCAAGCUCGGCUUGGUGUUGGGCGUCUGUCCCGCUUCGUGCGCGGACUCGCCUCAAAUGCAUUGGCAGCGGUCUUGCCAGCUUCUCGCGCAGCACAUUGCGCUUCUAGAGGCUUUGGCGGAUCGGCGUCCAUCAAGUACACCCACAGUUUGACCUCGGAUCAGGUAGGGAUACCCGCUGAACUUAAGCAUAUCAAUAAGCGGAGGA
rnacentral:misc_RNA from 1 species